rnacentral:tRNA from 1 species
GCCCCUGUAGCUCAGAGGCAGAGCAACCCGCUUACACCGGGUAGGUCGCAGGUUCAAUUCCUGCCGGGGGCA